UAUUUAUUUUGCGUGCCUGUGUGUGUAUAUAUGUAUAUAUGUAUGUAUACACACACACAUACACACACAUGCAUGCACGCACACAC
rnacentral:miRNA from 14 species